rnacentral:misc_RNA from 1 species
UAAUAAAGUGUUUUAUGGCACUUUUUAAAUCCAUAUCCACCUUGUGUGCAAUGUCAGUCGAUCUUCUUCAUGGAGAUCGACCAAACAUCAACCUUUAUUUUUUAACUCUUUGUCUGAAAAAUAUUAUGAAUACUUAAUUCAAAAUA